GGUGCGGUAGCUCAGCUGGUUUGAGCGUCCCGACUCUAUCGGAAAGGUCGGUGGUUCGGGGCCGUCUCGCGCUA
rnacentral:tRNA from 1 species